rnacentral:lncRNA from 1 species
AAAUUAUAACCACAUAUUAUUAUAGAUUUCUAAAAUGAACAGCGAAAUUCUUGAAACGCGCACAAUAAUUAAAAUCAUAAAUGAAAGAUUGCAUUAGAAAGGAAGACAAAGGAUAUACAAUAACCAAAAUCUUCAAAUCUAUUUCACUACAAAGAUUUCUACAACAUGAAAAAAUUAACACAAUUUAAUAGAAGAACUUGUUUAUAAGGAUAUAAAAACUGAAUGGUAAUGGGAAAGACCAAUUUGUCAUCAUCAUCAUUCAUUGAACUGAACUUUGUGUUGGAACCUGCAGACAUUGCAAAAGCCCACUAAUUAAGUGAUACUUUUAUCUCUUUUAAUUGAUUUUGCAUAAAAAAAAUAAAAUGCAUUAAUUUUGAAACAUAUGUUUUCCUGAUUAAAAAAGAAAUAGCAGAGAUCUUCUCCUUUAUCUUUAAGAUAAAUAUUGCUUUGUUGUAGUCUUUAACUGCAUGAAGUUUAAAAUUAUUACUUACUCUGCAGUAAAGUAGAAAAAAAUUAGAAAGAGAACUUAAAUAUUCAAGCAAAUUAUCUAAAUAAAUUAGAAAACUUUAUAGAAUGCAAGUAUUAAUAUGAUUAUCACUUAUAUAACAAUAAUAACAUAUUCGGUGAAAUUCUAAUAAAAUAAAAAAUUAAUCUAUAACAAAAAAAAAUAUUUUGAAAUAAAAAAAAAAGAGCAUUCUUCUUACAACUACUCUUACCAUAAUGUAUAAAGAAAAAUGGGCUAGAGAGAGUGUGUCCAGCUUCUCUCUAACUCCUUUCCCCCUCCUAUUGAGCUAUUGACCCCGAUAUGCAGAAUCUCCGCUCCCCUUCGAUACCCAAUCCUCCUAUCAAUGAUGUCCCAAUGCUGGAAAAUAACCCAACCAAUAAGGACAUCAUCUCCAAUAAACUACCCUCCUCUAGCAAUGCUGUUAACUUUGAAGAGGAUGACGAUCCAACGGAACAGGAUCUAAUCAAUCUCUCAAUGGAAGAGCUCACAUGCCUCUAUGAUCCCUGAAAAUAUUUUGUAAUCAUCAAACUAGUGCGGAAGAAUUUUGCCCACCAGUACCUCAAAAACAAAUUAGAGGCUCUUUGGAAGCCUUCACGCCCCCUAUGUCUCAUUGACUUAGAAUUGGGUUUCUACACUGUUAAAUUCGAAAACCUAGAAAGUCAAGCAAAAUCACUCCAAGGAAGACCGUGGUUUAUCUCCAUAACUUUCAUCUCAGUAGGGAAAUGAGAGCCUAAUUUUGUACCAAGCAAUGCACAACAUUCUGGCUACACCUACUCCAACUUCCCACUGAGUUCGAUGACUCCCAAAUACUUCAGAGGGUGGGGAGGAAAAUUGAAAGGCUUCUAAAGAUCGACGCAUGCACAUCUGCUACUCUACGGGGUCGUUAUGCUCGAUUAUGCAUCCAAAUUCAAUUAGGCAUACCAGUAAUGGCCUCAAUCAACAUUGGAGGGCACCAACAAGAGAUCAUAUACAUAGGAGAUGGGAUACUCUACUCAUCGUGUGGCCAAUUAGGUCACACACCUACCAGUUGCCACCACCAGCAAGAUCCACCCAUUCAAUAUAGUUCAACAUUGGAAAAAACGUCGACAUCAGAAGGGGAAUAGCACACUGUAUCUUUCCAGAAAAAAGAAAAAGAGAAACCAGGUUCCAUCUGAGGACUCAGCUUCAAUCCAAAAACCCGACAAAGAAGGUAAGUCUUAAGGAGCAGUGACAGGUAAGUCUCCGAAUCCUCGACACUACGACGGCGGCAACAAGUUAGGGUAACCUAACACUUUUGGGUCCUCUCGGGGCAAAGCCAAAAUGGGCCAGCUGCUAGACCCCCUGCCCCAUUGAAAAAUUGGGCCAGGCCCAAACUCGGCCUCCAAACACCAUGCGGAUUCCUCCAUGGACUGGGCCAAUUCUGGAGUAGAGCAUAAAGCCCCUCCUUACUCGAGGCCCAAUUCCCUUAGUAACCCGAACAAGCCCACUUCGGGAAAAUAGGGGCCUUCUUAUUCUACUCCUAUUUUAAACAGUACCCCUUCCUUAGUUGACUUAAAGAAUUAAAAAAAGAGCUACGGGCCCCACCAGAACCAGCUCAACUUAGACAAUCAUGAGUCUUCAGCUGAAAUCCCCCAACGCUCGUUAAAAACCUUUCCGAUUCUCAGGGUGAUUUGAUGAAAACUGUCUAUCACACAGACAUUGAAUCAAAUGCAAGUGUCAAUACCAAGGAUGAAGCUUCUCAACUCAAACCAGUAACAUGGCUAUCUCUCAUACCUCUAAAGAGAAUAGCAAUGAACCUACCCCAAAACUCUGAUAUGAUCACCCUAAUUACGAAAAUAUUACCAAUGGACCACCUCCCAACUUCUUGGCUGGAGGUAUGCCUCACCGGCCAGACUGUACCACUACACCGUGCAAUGGGAGAGGAGGCAAGUUACUCUAUUUAUUUAGGACCCCAGGUACCUGGUACUUCUAUCCAUGGAAUGCCUACGCCAGGGGCUAUCUAGCUAUGGACAAAAUAUGUGGAUGGCAACCCUGUUCAAUGUGAUAGGGUCAACCUUCCAAGAGGAAUUGACCCUAGAAAUCCUAUCAUCUAUGAUAAAUCAGAUAAGCUCCAGCAUUCCAUUCUUUCCACCCUCAAAUCCUCUUCUGCUGGCACAAAGCCCAACUUUUAUGAGCUUACCUAGGGAAAGCCAACCACUCCCAGUCUCAAUGAUGACUCCCCUCUCACCUCCAGCACCCAUAGUACUAGAGAGACUUGAAAGAGUGAAAACUAUGGAAACUCUAAGGGAAAGCAACAAGGAACUGGAAGGUCUCCUAGCACAACUGAGAAUCCCCAGAAUGGAUGUCUUCACGGUGGAAAGACCUGUAAAUCUAGAGUUUAUAGACCUCAUUCACGAGAUUUCCAUUAUCCUCUUGCCUCAACCACUGACAAAGCUGGGCCUAAACUAAACGGGCCAAACCCUAUUAGAGGAACUUUUCACUGCAAAAGUAUCUCCUCUAUCAAAGAAGAGGAAGAGCUUAAAGAUGCAUGGACUCUCCAAUUCACUGGGAAAGGGGAAGAAAGUACUGAUAGGCUCCCACCAACUUCAAAAAAACUAUGAUGAAGAGCUUCCUAAUUUAGAAUGAUAGAGGGGCCAAUAGUGUAGAAUUAAAGAAGCAAUGCAAGUCCAUGAUUAGCAUCCACCACCCCUGCAUCUUGGCCCUUCUUGAAACUAAGAUGGUAGACCAUAAGAAUCUCUCUAAUGACCAUGGCGACCACAACUUCAUUAAGUCCAGUGCUAGUGGUAUCUCAUGGGGCAUAGUAAUAAUGUGGAAAGAAGACAACAUCACCAUCACCAGCUUUUUUAUCUUCUCUUAGGCUAUUCAUGCCUCUGUUAAGGUAAAUUCUCUCCCCUCCAGCUGAGUCCUUAGCAUUGUCUAUGCUAGUAAUGAUUAUAAUAACAGGAAGCUUCUUUGGGACCAACUUAUUUCUCUAGCUGACUCCUUACCCUCCAUGAGAAGUAAUAAUUGGGUAGUGGGUGGUGCUUUUAAUGAGGUCCUGAAGGCUAGUGAGAAAUUUAGGGGAAACCCCAUAAACAUCCACAAGUCCUCCCUCUUCUGGGAAUGCAUUAAUAAAUGCAACUUCAUAGACCUAGAUUCAUGGGCUGCAAAUUUUCCUAGUCUAAUAUGAGAUAUAGAAAUAGGCAAGGCCUUAUCUUAGAAAGGUUAGACAGAUGUUUAGCUAAUGACUAUUGGGUGCACCUGUAUCCUAAGGCCUCUAUACUCACCUCCCUAAAAUCUACUCUAACCACUCCCCUCUACUCUUGAGCCUUACUAGACCCCCUCAAUAUCUCCCUAGACCCUUCAGGGUGGAAUCCUCGUUGUGCAAUCGCCUUGAUUUCAAUAGCCUUAUCCUCAAUUCCUUUCCUGAGAGAGUUGACCUCACUAAUGCAACCAUUCUCUUUGAUGGCAUAGCUAGAACCUAGAAUAAGAAGACCUUUGGCAAUAUCUUUAAAGCAAAGAAAUAGAUACUUGCUAGGUUAACAGGUAUCCAAAAAUCCCUUCACUACCCCACCAUCCCCUUUCUCUAAAACCUUGAAGUCUCCCUCACCUAGGAAUUUAUUUACUUGCUUGACCAAGAGAAUGAGUUCUGGAAACUAAAAUCCAAGAUCAACUGGCUUAUUGAUGGGGAUAUGAAUACAAAAUUCUUUCACACUUCCACCCUAAAUAGAAGAAUAAGGAGUAGAAUCAACUCCAUCUAAGACCAUAGCUACUGGAUCUUUGAACGUUCUAAAAUCUCUAAAGCCGUCACCUCUUUCUACAAAACUCUCUAUUUCUCUGACCAUACAUGCUUUCCCAUUAUAUUCCAAACAAACCCUUUAGACAGGGUUCCUUUAAACCUUCUUCCUACUCUCUUCUAGAUUUUAUUCCUAACCUGGAAGAGAUUAAAAGGGUUGUUUUCUUCUUUGGCCCUACCAAAGCACCUGGACCUGAUGGAAUGCAUCCCUUUAUAUGUCAGAGAUAUUGGCCCAAUAUGGCCCCUCUGAUCCAUGAGUUUUGCAGAGCAACAUUUACCUCUUAGAGGAUGGACCUUGUAGUCAACACCACCUAUCUUUUCCUCAUUACUAAGUGCAGAGAUAUAACCUCCUUUAAAAACUUUAGGCCUAUUAGACUGUGUAAUACUCAGUACAAGUUCAUCACCAAUAGAUUAAAACCUCUCCUCCAAACCAUAAUUGGUCUUAAUCAAGCCAGUUUUCUUGCUAAAAGGAGGGUCUGUGUUAAUGCCAUCAUUGUCUAGGAAUACUUAGAUCACUUCAGGAAAAUGAAGGGCUCUAAUCCCAUCAUGAUCAUGAAAAUUGAUCUAGAAAAUGCCUUUGAAAGACUUGAAUGGCCUUUCAUUAGACAAGCAUUGGCCUUCUUCAAUUUCCCCCUGGUCUCUCUCAACUCAUUCUCUCAUGCAUCUCCGUAUCCUCUAUUUUUGUCCUUAUGAAUGGGAAUAUAACCCCCUCUUUCAACCUACAAGAGGGUUAAGGCAAUGAGACACCAUGUCACCCUACCUCUUUAUUUUCUGUAUGGAGUUAUUCUCUAGGAGAAUUAAUUAUAAGGUUGAUUCCCUCAUAACUAGGGAUGAGUAUGAUGUCUAAAGUCAAGACUUGGUAUCCUUCUUUCCUUCUGUUUCAUUCUAUUUCAUUCUUUUUGAAUAAUGGUCAGGACAAAAUUUUGUGUCGUUGUCUACUUCUUUGUCCGAACACACUUUAUGUUUACAUUCAAAGGGGGCAUAUUGUAGACACCUAAUUUUGUUCCUCCCAAGUUCAAUUUUAUUCAUUUUUACCUCACAUUAUCAUACACCCUCACCCACGUGAUUAUACCCCACAAAAUAUAAAAAAAUAAAAAUAAAAUUUCAAUAAACCACUAACAAAUUAAAACCUUAAUAUUCCCUUAUUCUAACAAACUUUAUCCCAACAACCUCACCACCCCAUACCCCUACCCUUUAACCCCACCCUUCCACAUUUCUUUUUCAAGAAGAAAGUAAAAGAAUACAAAAAUAGACCUCACAAAAUAGAAAAGAGGGAAGAGAAAAAAUAGAAUUCCAUUCAUAGGCACAGUACACCACCAUCCUUCUCGAUAAUUCCACACACACUCACUCUCACCAUAUACACACACCUACCUCCACAAGAACACACAGAUGAUCCUCUAGUUUUUCAUUGACUGAAGAAAAAACCAUAAACAAUUUCACGCACACACUUUUAAAAUCUCAUGAUACACUCCCAUGCACGAAUAGACGAUUCACUCACACACAGACAUUGAAAUCUACUCUCAGUUCAUAUAGAAACAAAACUCACGCACAAAGGCUGAUCAGAAAAUAGACCCAUCAGGAGAAAUGAACUGAUCGAAAAAAAGACCCAUCGCGACAUUUAUUUUGGGGUCAAUUAGGUUUUGAUUUUAUAUUUUUAUCAGUGGUUUUGAUUAAUUUGGACUCGAUUUCGUCAUCUAUUUUUGAUAUCAAGCUGGUGUUGUUCAUUUUGAUGUUCUCUGUUGGUUUUCAAAUCUAUUUUGGGGUCAAAUUCGAUACCAAAUAGGGUUUUGUUCAAAGUCAGUUUAAGUCGAGAUUCCAAAGCCACAAAAGCUCCUCCGUUUGAUUGAAUAAAAGUGAUAUUAAGGUCCAUUCUUUAUCUCAUUCUCAAUUAAUUUGUAAUUGUGUGAUAUUUGGUGUGGUAAAUUCAUGGUGUGUGGAUUUUAUUUUGUUGAUUUUGAUAUGUUUUGGAUCAUCGUGGUUUGUUAUUGAUAUCGAUAGAUUGAUCGUAAUUUGGUUGUGGAUUGUUGAAAAUAGUAAUCGUGAACUAUUAUAUUGCAACCUUGAAUGAAAUUUGGGGAAAUUGAUAAUCGAAUAAGUUGAACGUUGAUUAGUUUUGAUUCAUUGUUGGAUAUUAUUGAAAUUGAUAGUAUCAUGCUUUAGAUCGUUAAAUGGGUAGACAAAUACUAAGUUUGGGUAGGCAAAUUGUAGAAAUGGAAGAUGGUGAUUUGUUGAAUGUGUGGAUAUUUGUUGAAUGGUUCUUUCUAUUUUAACGUAUAAAAUUGAGGAUGUAUUCAUUUUAUCGGGGAAUGUCCUGAGGUACCUUGUACUCGAAAGAUGUUCGUGAUGAAGGCCCAGAGCAUCGGGUGAAGCUUUGGAGUGUAUUUUUAGGAUUAGUAUAGGUUUACUUUUCAGUACCUUUUUAUUUCGGAUUGUAAUUAUCGGACUGGACAUUAUAAUUUUGGAUUUGUUUUGUUUGAUUGUUUGAUUGAUUGUUUUGUGUAUUUUUUGUGUGGUUUAUACAUUCAUAAUAUCAAAUUAGCCGAUAUGUUCCACCAAGCGACUGUGGUUGAACCAUGGGAUCGAGGGGUGCCUAACACCUUCCCCUCGGUCAAUAGAAUUCCUUAGCCAGAAUCUCUGUUCGUGGAUCAGUUUUAGAGUCAAACUGUUUUGAAAAAGGAUUUUCAAGGUGACUUGGCACACUAGCUUUAAGCCAAGUGGAGACUCUAAGUUAAAAAAGGUAAAUAAUUCUUUUCGAAACAUAUUUUCAAUCUUUUGUCACUUUAACAAUAAAAGCCCUUCCAUACUUAAAAUUCAAUUCAUUUGGAGUUGAAAAAGGGGUGUGACAAUUAAAAUGGAGUUUGGGAUGUUAUAUUUAUAGUAUAUAAGUCAUAAAUCGACUUGGAUUGGGUUUCUGAGCUGUUUUUCUUCAGCUGGGAAGAUUUCUCCUGAUUUUGGAGGUCGGCGCGACGCGGUGACAUGCUAAUUUACAAUUGUCAAAAAUUCUGUCAAAUUCCAGUAGCUAGUCACGAUUUCAACGCGUCACGGAGCCUUCUUAAACCCCAUUAUAAGCUACAUGCGCCUAUGGGUAAGCAUCUUGGGCCUCCUCUGAAUCUAAUAAUAUUUUUUACUCAUACAUUAGCCUCUCCUAUACUUCGUACGCGCUCAAUACAUUACAGGUGUCAAAAUUGCAUCCAGCUUGUGUCUUGUGCUUUUGUUGAGCUAUUCCGAGCCUUCUUGAGUUGUUUUCACUUGAUUUGAAGCUUGUAUAUCCUUAAUAUAUCAUUAUAAUCCAUUUAAAAAGAAUCAUAAAGAAUUAAACAAAUCAAUUAAGAGAUCAAAACAACACAACAUCAUCAUCGAUGAACUAGAAACACGAGCUAAGCAUAGGCUAAACUCACAUUGAGCUUUAACUCAUUGUUUUGACUCUUUUCUUGGUUCAAUUGACCCUUGAACAUUAUAACUAAGUUGUUUUACAUAUAAAUACAUAAUAACCUUAGUAACUCAUUAAAACACAUUAGAACCCAACACAAGAGACUAGAAAAAUACCUAGCUCAAGCUAGUUACACUAGUUUUCUCGGUUGACUUCUAAAUGCUCAAAUUAAAUCAAAACUCAUGUGAAACCACCAUUAAAAAUUAUAAACACAUAAUUGGACACAUAAUUUCUAAUUUAUAUCAUUAUUAAUACAUAUAUCAUAAGAAUCAUCCUUAAAACAAGGCUAAAUAAGC